rnacentral:snRNA from 1 species
AGCUUUGUACACUGGCAGUAUCAUAGCCAGUGAGGUUUAUCCGACGCGCAAUUAUUGCUAAUUGAAGUAUCCACAUAGAUUGGACACUUUAGGUACCUCAUUCCAAAGGUUUUCUUUUUUUGUCCAACUGUGGGGCCUAUAUAUUUUUUGUUGGUUGCUCAAU